CAUCAAGAAGCUAUGCCAGCG
rnacentral:tRNA from 1 species